UACAGAGGGUGCGAGCGUUGUCCGGAAUUACUGGGCGUAAAGGGCGCGUAGGCGGUUCGGUAAGUAGGGGGUGAAAUGCUGCGGCUCAACCGCAGCCCUGCCUUCUAGACUGCCGGACUCGAGCACAGUAGAGGCAGGUGGAAUUCCCGGUGUAGCGGUGGAAUGCGUAGAGAUCGGGAAGAACAUCGGUGGCGAAGGCGGCCUGCUGGGCUGUUGCUGACGCUGAGGCGCGACAGCGUGGGGAGCAAACAGG
rnacentral:rRNA from 1 species